rnacentral:rRNA from 1 species
UACGUAGGUGGCAAGCGUUGUCCGGAUUUACUGGGCGUAAAGAGCGCGCAGGCGGUCGUUCAAGUCGCGUGUGAAAGCCCCCGGCUCAACUGGGGAGGGUCACGCGAUACUGAUCGACUCGAAGGCAGGAGAGGGUAGUGGAAUUCCAGGUGUAGCGGUGAAAUGCGUAGAGAUCGGGUGGAACACCAGGGGCGAAGGCGGCAUCCUGGCUCUGUACUGACGCUGAGGCGCGAGAGCGUGGGGAGCAAACCGG